GCGCAGGCGGAUUAGAAAGUCUGGUGUUAAAAGCAAUUGCUUAACGAUUGUAUGCAUUGGAAACUUCUAGUCUAGAGUUUGGUAGAGAGUCCUGGAACUCCAUGUGGAGCGGUGAAAUGCGUAGAUAUAUGGAAGAACACCAGAGGCGAAGGCGAGGACUUGGGCCAAUACUGACGCUUAGGCUUGAAAGUGUGGGGAGCAAAUAGGAUUAGAUACCCUAGUAGUCCACACUGUAAACGAUGGAUGUUAAGUGUCGGAGCGAAUACUUCGGUGCUGCAGUUAACACAUUAAACAUCCUGCCUGAGUAGUACAUUCGCAAGAAUGAAACUCAAACGGAAUUGACGGGGACCCGCACAAGUGGUGGAGCAUGUUGCUUAAUUCGACGGUACACGAAAAACCUUACCUAGACUUGACAUCUUGGGCGAAGCUAUAGAAAUAUAGUGGAGGUCAACCCAAUGACAGGUGGUGCAUGGUUGUCGUCAGCUCGUGUCGUGAGAUGUUGGGUUAAGUCCCGCAACGAGCGCAACCCUUAUCGUUAGUUACUUUGUCURACGAGACUGCCAACGUAAGUUGGAGGAAGGUGGGGAUGACGUCAAAUCAUCAUGCCCCUUAUGUCUAGGGCUGCAAACGUGCUACAAUGGCCAAUACAAACAGUUGCAAAUCCGUAAGGUGGAGCUAAUCUGUAAAGUUGGUCUCAGUUCGGAUUGAGGGCUGCAAUUCGCCCUCAUGAAGUCGGAAUCACUAGUAAUCGCGAAUCAGCCAUGUCGCGGUGAAUACGUUCUCGGGUCUUGUACACACCGCCCGUCAAACUAUGAGAGCUGGUAAUAUCUAAAACCGUGUUGCUAACCGCAAGGAAGCGCAUGUCUAGG
rnacentral:rRNA from 1 species